CCAGGAACAGCCGGGCUGCGAGGCCAUGACCCAGGGCCUGGGAACACAGUGAGGCCUGGCCAUGCUGCGAGGCCUCAGAGGGGCGGACUGCUUAGGAGGCCAACGACCUUCCUAAGGGUGGGCAGUCAGGGAAGGGCCAACAGCAUGCCCGCUGUGUCCUCAGGCGGGCCCUCCCUCCCUGGGACCCUCCCAGUGCCAGCCUCCUGCCUGGGCCAGGCUGGGAGCUCCCUGACUGCUCUGGUCCCUGGGCUGCUCCCACGAGCCUGACUCUGACGGUGUCUGCUGCACAUCAUCCGCGGAGUCCCGAGUUUCGGCCACUGCGGUCGUCCCCAUUUCACAGCCAGGAAACAGAGGACAGGGGAAGUCAACUGGAGGUCACGCGGUGAUGGGGAAACCAAGGCUGGCGGGAGGAGCAGCAGGAGCACAUCCGUGGACUCUAAGUCAGCACCCUGCCUGCACACGCAGCCCCAAUCCCCAUAGUGAGGUUUGCCUCCCCGGCAUGAACCAGGAACGUCCGGCCUCAUCGGGAGGCUGGCACCAAAAUCCAUUCUAUGUGGGUGAAGGCACCUACAGGGAGCAUGCAUGGGCCAUGGGAGGUGUGCCCUCACCAGCCUGAGAAUCACGG
rnacentral:lncRNA from 1 species